rnacentral:rRNA from 1 species
UACGUAGGGUGCGAGCGUUGUCCGGAAUUAUUGGGCGUAAAGGGCUCGUAGGCGGUUUGUCGCGUCGGGAGUGAAAACUCAGGGCUUAACCCUGAGCCUGCUUCCGAUACGGGCAGACUAGAGGUAUGCAGGGGAGAACGGAAUUCCUGGCGUAGCGGUGAAAUGCGCAGAUAUCGGGAAGAACACCCGUGGCGAAGGCGGCUCUCUGGGACGGUACUGACGCUGAGACGCGAAAGCGUGGGGAGCGAACAGG